rnacentral:rRNA from 1 species
GACGAACGCUGGCGGCGUGCCUAAUACAUGCAAGUUGAGCGAUGAAGAGUGGUUCUUGCACCGAUUUGAAGAGCAGCGAACGGGUGAGUAACGCGUGGGGAAUCUGCCUUUGAGCCGGGGACAACAUUUGGAAACGAAUGCUAAUACCGCAUAACAACGUUAAACAUAAGUUUUAAGUUUGAAAGAUGCAAUUGCAUCACUCAAAGAUGAUCCCGCGUUGUAUUAGCUAGUUGGUGAGGUAAAGGCUCACCAAGGCGAUGAUACAUAGCCGACCUGAGAGGGUGAUCGGCCAACUUGGGACUGAGACAAGGCCCAAACUCCUAAGGGAGGCCGCAGUAGGGAAUCUUAGGCAAUGGAAGAAAGUCUGACCGAGCAAAGCCGGGUGAGUGAAGAAGGUUUUCGGAUCGUAAAACUAUGUUGGUAGAGAAGAAAGUUGGUGAGAGUGGAAAGUUCAUCAAGUGACGGUAACUACACAGAAAGGGACGGCUAACUACGUG